CAAAUCUGUGGCUGGAGUUUAUGAGUAACCGUGGGUAAAGGUCACAUUAUAGGUAUAAAUUCAGGAGGACCCUGGAAUAAGCAAACGGUUGAACAGCCACAGGGAUCAGAAAAAUGAAGUUGUUUGUCAUUUGUCUGGUUGCUUUACUCUUCAUAAAUAACAGUGAGGCUUUGUGGUGUUAUGCAUGUUUUGGAAAAAAUUGUUCAGCUAGACGAGAGGAAUGUGGCUCACGUUUGAUAAACCCUGUCUGUGCCACCGUAGAUGCCCCCACAUUUUAUGUGAAAGGAUGCAUGAGUGAGUACAUCUGUAGGGGGCAACAGAAGGCUCCGGGUACCACUGCUACCUGCUGCGAUUAUAGCUACUGCAACUAAUAAGAAGAUACAGCAGCCACAGCGAUGUCUCUAUAUAAUCAUCACUUACCAGAAGUUAAAAACCAGCACUCUUUUAUUUUUCCGGCAUAUAAUAUAGAAUUUGUCUGUAAUUAAUGAUUUGUUCUGUUAAAUAAUUGUAUCUGAAUUAAAUAAAAUAAUUAACAACAGCCUUUAUGAAUAGUUUUUUGUAGCCCUGUGAUAAUCAGAGUUUGAUAAGGCAUUCAAUAAGAUAUGUCUUUAUCUAUACAGAUUUUGUAUAUACUGUCCAUUUGUGUUCAUUAGUGAUCAUGUUACUUGUGGUAUUGGUUUUCACAGAAAAAGAAAACUAAAGGUAGUUUUAUUGAAGACUUACCUAGACAAAUGAACACUUAUAAAAUAGAGUUAGCAUCAGAGAUUGGAUACAUUAAUAAGCUGUUGACAGACCAGAUUCAAAGGCUAUUCUAAGGGAAGUGGGCAUAUAUUUAUAAAUACACCCUUCAGUGUCACACAAAUGAGGAUGAGGUUCCCGUUUGAGUCUGGUUCCUCUCAAGAUUUCUUCCUCUUCCAUUUAAGGGAGUUUUUCCUCACCACAGUUGCCUCAGUCACCUCAGACUUGUUCAUUGGGUAUAAAUACAAACACAUUUACAAAUAAGUCUAAUAUUAAUCUUGAACUUUUGUAUUAAAUUUGUAUUAUGUUUUUAUGCUCCGUAAAGCUGCUUUGAGACAAUGUCUAGUGUUAAAAUGCGCUAUACAAAUAAAUUUGAAUUGAAUAUUAGGAUUAUGUUUCAUUGUCAAAUCUAUUGAUAUGUUAAAAGUAAAAAAAAACAGAAUUUCUUAAACUGGUCAUGGAAAUAUUGUUUCUUUGUGCUCAUGCAGUACAGUAGGGUACGUUCGCUUUAACCUCUUACUUAAAUUGGUGUUCCAUAAUUAAGAGUGAAUGAACUGAUGAACUCCACAGACAUUUCCAGAAAUCUAGAAAUACUAAUCAUCUCUUUACUAGUUUAUUUAAAGAACUUCAUCAGUGAAGGAUUUCCCACCAAAUUCCACUUGCAGAUUUUUACAUCUUGAGUUUUACUUGCAAUUUUAUUCAAUAAGCCACUAAUAUGAGAAGACACUAAGACUAAGUUUUCUCAUUAGAUUACUUUUUAUUUUUUCCUUUUUAAAAAAAAAAAGAACAACAUCUAUUGAAUGAAAGAAAACAAAAUGUACAAUUUGUUUGGAAAUUCCUUUAGACAUCCUUAACAAUGCGAUGAAAUUUUACCCGGUACCUGGAACACUUCAUAAUAGGAGGGUGAAAGAUUGUUUCUCCCUUUGUUGGAACAGAAUAAUAAGCCUGAAAAGAUUUUAUAGACAGGUAUAAUGGGGUGUAAUGUAGCUGGUAGAACAGCACAAACAAUACUGUAAAAAUUUAAUUCGCUGGGGCUUAUGUGUAAUCUUGGAUAAAAAUCAAAAUGUUGAUAUAAAUUCAGGGGGACACUGGAUUAAGCAAAAAAAGUGGAACACCCAGUAGGUGAGUCAACAAGACACAGAUGAAACUAAUUUUUUUUAAACAAUUUUCGUAAUAAUAAUGAUGCAUUGUCUUGUAUGUGCUAUCAUUUAUAUUAGAAAUAUGAAACUUUGUUAAUAUUAAUAAAAAUACUUUUAUGAGUUUCCUGAUUUAAAGUUAACCUUCUUUCUUUUUUAGGUAUCAGAAAAAUGAAGUUGUUUGUCAUUUGUCUGGUUGCUUUACUCUUCAUAAAUUACAGUGAGGCUUUGUGGUGUUAUGCGUGUGCUAAAAAAGGCUGUUCAGGUAGACAAGAGGAAUGUGGCUCUUCUUUGAAAAUUCCUGUGUGUGCCGUCAUAGACUCCCCCCAAUCUUAUAUGA